CAUCACAUAUCUCAAUUUUUUUCCAUAUCAGUGAUUAAAAUAGAGAAGACAUUCAGUAGUCCUUUAACUGUACUGCCAUUUGGCUAAUAAAUGUUCACUUCUGGCUUUGCCUAUAUGUUUGUUUAUUUUUCUUUUCUUUCUUUAGCUUAUGUUUUUUAUUUGCAAACUCUUCUAAAAUUUCUGAGACAAAUUUUAUUUGUAGAGUUUCUAUGUGACAUUUUAAUACUUGUACACGUUAUGUAAUAUCCAAUCAGAGUAAGCAUUUCUUCUCAUACGUUUAGUAUUUCUCUGGUGAAAGCAUUCAAAAUCCUUCAGUUCUUUUUCCCCUUGGAGAAAUGUACAAUGCGUUAUCAUUAUCUGUACUCACUCUACUGUACAAUAGCGUAUCAGAACUUCAUACUCCUAACUAUACUUUGUCAUAUAUUCAUCAAUCUCUACCCUUUCAUCAGCUUCCUUCCCUGGUUUUUAAUAGCUGUGAUUACACUGUUAACUUCUAGGAGAUCAACAUUUUUAUAUUUUUUGCAUGAGAGAGAUCAUGUGGUACUUGUGUUUCUGUGCUUGUCUUAUUUCCCAGAAUAUAAUGACUUCCAGCUCCAUCCAUGUUGUUAUAAUUGACAAAAUUUCAGCCUUUUAUGGCUGAAUAGUAUUCUAUUGUGUAUGUAUUAUAUGUGCCACAUGUUUUCUGUCUGUAUAACUUGAUGAACAUGUAGGUUGUUUCCAUUUAUUAGCUACUAUAAUGGAAUAAUGCAGCAGUAGACAUGGGAGUGCUGAUGUAUCUUCAGUAGACUCAUUUCAUUGCUCAUGAGGUGUAUAUUUCAUUAGUGGAAUUGCUAGAAUAUAUGGCAGCUCUGUUACUAGUUUUUGUUUAAAACCUCUAUAUUGUUUGCCCACAAUGACCGUAUUAAUUUACAAUCCCCCAACACUGUGCAAAGCUUUUCUUUUCCCACAUCCUUGGUGACACUCAUUAUCUCCUUUUUUAUAUAAUAGCCAAUAUAGUUAUAGUCAUAUGAUAGCUAAUUGUUGUUUUACAUGGCCAUUUGUAUAUCUUCAUUUUGUAAAUGUCUGCUUAAGUCCACUGCCCAUUUUUAUUUAUUUUUGCUGUCAAGUUGUUUGAGUUCCUUAUAUAUAUUCUGGACAUUAAUUCAUUGUCAAAUGUGUAACUUUCAAAUAUUUUCUCCCAUUCUGCAUGUUGUCUUGUCACUUUGUUUACUGUUUCCUUUGCUAUUCAGAAGCUCUUGAGUUUGAUUAAAUCCCAUUUAUUUAUUUUGCUUUUGUUGAGGUCUGAACCUAAAAGCCUUUGCUCGUUCUAAUGUCUAGAAGUAUUUCUUCUGUGUUUUUUUCUAGUAGUUUCAAGUCUUAAAUCCAUUUUGAGUUGAUUUUUGUACAUGACAAGAGAUGAUGUUCUAGAUUCAUAUUUCUGCAUGUGGAUAUCCAAUUUUCCCAGAGCCACUUGUUGAAUAUACUGUCAUUUUGCCAGUGCAUGUUAAGACAUUUCUUGAUAUGAAUGAAAAUGGAAAUGCAACAUAUGGAAACCUACAGAAUAUGGCAAAAGCAGAACUAAGAGGGAAGUUCGUAGAAAGUUCACAAAUAGAAAACUCAUCACUGCCCUCUAAAGAACUAGAAAAACAAGCACAAAUAAAAUCCAGUAUGUGGAGAAAAUCAUAAAAGUUAGAGUAGAAAUAAAUGAAACAGAUAAAAGUACAAUGUGGAGGGGGCACAUUGUGAUGCAGUGCAUUAAUCCACCAGUUACAUGUGCCUACAUCCUGUAUCAGAGUCCCUGGUUUAGUCCUGGCUGCAUCAUGCUUCCAACCUAGCUUCUUGCUAGUGUGCCUAGGAAACAUUAAUUGAUGGCCCAACUGUUUGCUUUUCUGCCAGCCACAUGGAAGACCCAGAUAGAGUUCAUGUAUUUGGCUUGGGCCUGGCCUACCCUUGGUUGUUGCAGGCAUUUGGGGAAUAAAACAAUGGGAGAUCUCUUCCUUCUCCCACUCCCUUCUCUCUGUCACUUUGCCUUUCAAAUAAAUAAAUAUUUUUAAAAAAUACAAAAAUAUAAAUGAAACUAGUACUUUGGGGGUAAAAAAGCACUUAGCUAGACUAAGAAAAAGAGAUUCAAAUACAAUCAGGAAGGAAAAAAGAAAACUUUACAAUUGAUACCACAGAAAUGCAAAAGGAUUUUUAGGAAUUAUGUGCAAUUAUACAGCAACACAUUUGAUUACCUAAAAGAAAUGGACAUAUUACUGCAUGUAGCUACUACAGUUCCUCAAGAUGAUUCAAGUACUAAUUUUAUUUCUUCAUUAUACCUACAUUUUGUGUGUCUAAGGAGUUAAUCACAGUCUCUUCAACCCAUUGUCUUAAGUAAUCAAUGAAAUAGUCAUUUUUUAUAAGACUGAUGUAUCCUGAAUGCCAGUUGUUAAGUGUAUGCAAGACAAUAACAUGAACAGAUGACUCCUUAGAAUAUUUAUAUAGCCAGUGGUGGCUAUUGUGAUCUUCAAAAAGUGCAUGGAAACUGAAUGUUAUAAAAAAUGCAUGGAUUUCAAAAUACUUUUGCACUAAGUAAACACGUUAAUCUAUAUUCCAUGAACUUAGUGAAGUACCUUCUAUAGUGCAAGAAACUAAUUGUUUUGUGAUCCUGAUACUUCUCAGUGUGUGGAAUUCACAUGUCAGCAGCAAAUCUACUUGACUUCAAUGAAAUAUGUUAAGAAUUGCACAAAACUGUGCCCUUAUGGAAAAUGCAUUGGCUGCCAUUUGGUUUUCAGAUGGUACACUUAGUCAAAGCUGAAUUUAAGUGUCUCUUGUUCUUUUAAAGAAUAUCACAUUUGGUCAGAUUAGCUCAUUUAAAUGUUUCAUGAAAUGAACUAACACACUGCAGGUACUAACUGUAUAUACUAACUGAACUCUUGGAUAGAAAUGUCGGUUGGGAGGAAUAUUUGAUUGUUUUCCGUGGUUAUGUUGAAAGCCAGGUGAUGAAGACAUCUGGUAACGAAAGAAGAUAGGAAAGAAAAUACUCUCCGAGUUUGGAAAUGUUAUUUUAGUCUUUCACCUGCUUUGAGAUGAAAUGCACAAAAUGCAAAUGACAAGAUGACUAGGCUAUCAUCGAUAGUCUCUUGUCACAGAGGACCUUAGAGAUUCCUGUGCUUCAGGGAAGAGUGGGAGAAGAAGCAGUGGGUAAAUGAAUGCUUUGUGUGUCCUAAAUGUUAGAGAGUAAGAAACUGAGAAAUGACACAUUGUAGAUAAUACCCACUUAUAUAGGAGAUAAUUUAAUUACAGAUCUAUCAUUUCUACAUAUUUAUUCAAAGAAGUCUUGGCUAUUUAUAGUUUUUGUUGCUAUAUAUUCUGCCAACAUGCAUCUUGUGUAUGUGUUUUUUCUUCUCUAGGAUUGAUUCAUUUUCUUAUACAUUGUGGACAAGAAUGCAGAUUCACUGAUAAGAGGAGUAACACAGGGAUUCAUCCACAUUGAACCAACUACAGACGUAGUUACUGUUUUGUUUGUUCUGUCCUCUUUUUUUUUCUUUUUUUUUUUUUUUUGACAGGCAGUAUCCUCUUUAUUCCAUCAUUCAUUAGGCAUCUAUUGACUGUCUCAGACUCUGUACAGUUUGGAUGGAGUGGGAAACAAAAGGAAACAUGAAGUACAUAGUUUGCCUGCCAGGGUUUUUGCAGAUUAUGUAGAAAUGCAUUUUAUAGUUUCAUGAAAUAAUACGUAGUGAUAAAGGGCUAGUAUGUCUUUAUGAAAAAAUAACAAUAAAUAGAGUUGUGGGUUUCAUAGGCUGAGGGGAUUAGAUAAUCACACUCAGAUUACCUACCUCUAGGCCAGCUUUUAGGACAAUUCUAUCUUUAGGAAAGAAAAGCUUAUGAAGUUUCUGUUCAUUAAUCCAGGUGACUCAGAAUCUCAUUAACCUGACUGCUGAACCAUCUAUAUUCUGUUCCAGAGCUUGUACCCUGUGCUAUACCUGGGACAAAGCCAUAGCAGUAUGCCCUGUUGACAACUGUUAAUUUUGUUCUUCUGUAUUUGUAAUGCCUUUGAUUUUCAAACAAGGAUUAUGUGAUAAAAUUGCCAUACUUGGGAAUGAGUUGUAGUCUUUUAGGCCUUCCUGUUUUUACAGAAUUUGCUAAUAACAUAGGAAUAUAAAAGUUCUAAGGAUAACUCGGGGUAAUAGAUUAGCAAAUAUAUACAUGAGAAGGGCCAGAGGCUUUGUUUUUUGGUAUGACUUAUUUCUGACAUGUUAGAUCAUAAAUAGACUUCAGUAGGCUAAGACAGCAUGAUGCCAGUAGACUAAGAGGAGAAUGAGAGUUAAGUGAGUGAGAAUAAAAUGAGGAUGAAAAGUGCAUUUCAUGGAAGGGUAAAAGCAACAGGGUAGGAAGUAUGGAACUAAGGCCCAGAAGAGCAGAAAAUAUGGUAUAUUUGUUAUUGCAUUCCAAAUGUCUAACAUAGUCUCUGGAACAUAGUAGAUAAAAUACAAAACCUGCUGAGGACCAAUUGAGAGAGGACAUCACGUUGGAGAUUCCAGAAGUAGAUUAACGUAAAAUGAUAGUUGAAAAAAUAGGGAGUGGUGCCACUAUUGUAUACCCAAGUCAAAGAAAUAGGACACUCCCAAAAAAAUCAUCUGAAUUUUGAAGGAUUGUGAGGCCAGGGUAUUGUCUGGAGGCAAUUUUCCAGUAACAACUGGGAUAUAACAAUUCUACAGUUUGAUCCUACACACAUGCAUAUACACAAAGAACAAAAACCUCACAGAUAAUAAUAGCAGGAAGUAGUCAUAAAGUCUACUGGGGAGCAAUGAACAAGCAGGUCUCUCAUCCCAGCCACUUGAGUUUGUGGGAGGUAUGUGGGGUACAGGGGAGGGAAAGGCAAAAACCUUGGACAAGAUUGGAUGCCACAUGGUAAUUUUUAAAAAUAUACAUUUUGCAAUAGAAAGAAAAUUUUAAUAAAAAAUAUGAGGGCUUUUGUUCAGAACAGAGUAGAGAUUGCACAGAAAGGGGCAUAGAUAGAGCCAGUCUUGGGAGAAGAAAGUCUGGGAGGAAUGGAGAUGAUCUGAAUAAGGCUGAGAAACUCAGGAUUAUAAAGAAAUGAUGGAAUUAGGGGAAAUCAUACCAGCAAGAAUGGGAAUUUUGUUUUUGAAACUUAGAGAUACUUAUUUUUCUAGAAUUACUAGGUAUGCAAGUGGAAAUACCUAGUGAGUAGAUAAACAUGGUUAAAUGCAGUUACGUAAACCAUUUUAUAAUGCCUACCAUUUUCAUUACUUUCCUUUCAAUUUUUGAUACAUUCUGGAGGAAAUGGACACUGUGGCAAAACAUAAUCAAUCACUACUGUUGAGAAGCUAAACAUUGCUUAAGAUGCUGAAGGUGGCAUUUAAUGAGUACUUGUUAGGUGUCAGGAAGGAUUUGACAAGCUUUAAAGGAAGCAAUUUUUAUUAGUAUCAAAGGCAUUGUAAGAUGAGUACCUGCAUUGUCUCUGAGCCAUAGAGCACAUGAAAGGUAAAUAAAUAAUCCUACAUUCAUACAGAAUCCAGUAAUGGAGUUGUGAUUGGACAAAAAUUGUCCACUACAUGAUUUUUCAUCUUGAUAAUGAACAUUAUAAUCUUUCAGACAACCACCAACCUUCACUCCUGUUUGUGGGAAAGUUUUGCAGAGUAUUCGUUUUGCUACAUUUAGCGAGAGCAGAUGGGACGAUGGAACGGGUUAAACAAUAGAGGGAGUCAACACUGACAGAAUAAUGUGAGCCACCGUGUGAGCAUUACAAAGAGAUGAAGGAUGACACAUCAUAAUUCAAUGGGACGAUCAGAUGUGAUGGAUUUCCUAACCACCCAAUCUUUCACUGACAAGCUUGUCCCUUUCUUUGUGAUUCUGCCUGAUUACACUGGCCUGCAAGAUGCCAAAUAGCCCUAGUGUUAGAAGGCACUAUGAUGCACUGUCAAUCAUUCACGAAGAGGUGAGAUGAACUAGGUUACAGAUAAUCCCUAAACUCUUCCUAAAAUUUUGUGUGCUGGUUGUCUGUGCUAUCCUAAAUUCAUUCAAUUUCUAAAAACCUAGUGUCUUAAAAACCCAGGAGAGGAGAGAUUGGUUCAAUAAGGCUGCAUGAUCUCAGAUCACUAAAUGUUAUGUUACUUGAGUUCUAUGAGGGACAGCAGUAGUGCCUAAAAGAUUCUCUGUGUUUGUGUAAUUUAAUUUAAUUAACAGGACCAAUCUAUAAUUCUAUACAUGUAAAAUUAUAGAAUCUUACCAUGCCAAAUUUAAGAUGUUGACUUAGAUCCAUAUGUAUUGACUUGGAAUGAUGUCCAUAGUGUCUUGUAGGUGAAAGAAGUUCCAAAAUAUAACAUAUACUUGGAUUCUACUUAGGUUACCUGAUUGGAACACACUGCUUUAAGAGCUCUCUAAUUGAACAAUCUGAGGAUCAGCUAGCAUAGCAGCUGAGUGUGAGGGAUGUAGAAUGAGACCACCAGGCUUUGAAACCAUGGCACACCUCUGAGUGAAUGUUUCAUUUUUCUCUACUUCAAUUUCCAAAUUGGCAAAGUGGGUUAUAAUUGAAUGUGACUAAUAGAAUUCUGUUGACUAUUAAGAAAUCAUAUGUACAAAAACAUUACCACGCCUGGUUUAUAGUAAACAUGAAGAUAAUUUAUUACUCUUAUAAUAGAGAAAUAUGGAAGAAGGUUUACUAACAUGUUAACUGUCAUUUCUUUCCUCUUGGAAGCAUUUUUUAUACUUUGAUAACAAUAGAGGAUUAUUUGUUAAUUUUUAAAGGUUUAUUUAUUUUGAAAAUUUGAGCUACAGAAAAGAGGGAGAGACAGAAAUCUUCCAUCCACUGGUUCACUCCCCAAAUGGCCACAGCAUCUGAGGCUGAGCCAGGUUGAAGCCAGGAGUUUCAUCUGGGUCCCUCAUGUGAGUACAGAGGCCUAAAUACAUGAGCCAUUCUCCACUGCUUUCCCAGGCACAUUAGCAUGGAGCUGGAUCAUGGAGCUGGGACAGGAACCAGCAUGUAUUUGGGAUGUUGGCAUCACAGACUGGUUUUACCCGCUGUGCCCCAAUGCUGACCCCUCUUGGUUAAUUUUGUUAAGAAAAUAGGUAGAUUCUUUGUCUUGGAAGGAAAUUUAUGUACUAUUUUUUCCUAAUUUUCUGAGUAUGGAGACCUACAUUACAAGUUUUCUAGCACACUUAUCUUCAACCUCUGCACAAACUCCUCAUGUUAUCUCUUACACCGUAAGAGGUAUGAGGACAAACCCUCCAUUUUCCAGUCUCUUUGAAUGUUUCAUGGAAUAAGUAUUGCCUAAAUAGGACUUUAAUUAAUUGUGGUUUUCAGAAAUCAAGUCAUUUCUCUCCCAAGUCAUUGUCACCCUAUCAUGGGAUACAUCUAGAUUGUUAAUGCAAUUCUCAUUCUCUCUCUGAGAGGAUUUCAGUAACAUUGCCUCCUAGGGCCAAAGGGAAAACACCUACACCUUAGCACUGUCCUGAGUCUUUUUCACAAGAUCUUAUCCACAGAAGAGUUCCACUUUCCUAUCAUUAGCGUUAACAUCUCUCCCCCAAAUAGCAUCAUGUUUCCUUCAGUGGCUGUUGGACAAGACUGUAUCAGGAAGAAUAUAGCACAAAGGGCUGCUCAUGAGUGAAUGUGAAUUUCCUACUCUAUCCUCUCAAGUUAUUCCAAACAAAUAUUUCAUACAAUAAUUUCCAGACUCAUGAUGGGAUAUGAAGGAUAGGAGUAAACAAGAAGUGUGUGUUUAGAAUUCAGCUUUCCUUUUUAAUUUUUUGGGGGUUUUAUUUAUUUUGAGAGGUAGAGUUACAGACAGAGGGAGAGACAGGUCUUCCAUCUGCUGGUUCACUCCCCAAAUAGCUGCAAGGACUGGAGCUGAGCCAAUCCAAAGCCAAGAGCUUCUUGUGGAUCUCCCACAUGGGUGCAGAGGCCCAAGGGUUUUUAGCAUCUUCUACUGCUUUCCCAGGCUAUGAGCAGAGAGUUUAAUUGGAAUAGGAGCAGCUGGGGACAUGAACCAGCACUCAUAUGAGAUGCCAGCGUAGCAGGCUGAGGUCUUGCCUACUCUGCCACAGCAGCAGCCCUUUGGGUUACCUUUUAUACCUGGGAUCCCUGUUUUUUGGGCUAAAAGUCUGUUAACUCCAUGACUUUGUCCUGACUCAGAUUACCUGUAGGCAUUAUAAUGCCCAAGGCUGUUUUCAGAGGAAAGCUUUAGCCCAGAAAGUACCAUGCCUUUGAGUAGAUCUGAGUGGUAUUUGCAACAAGGAGAACAUUACAAUAUUUGAGUAACAGAUACAGUUGGAGGUUAUAUGACACACAGCUCUGGAAGAGUAAGAAGCCAUGUACAACUCUAAGUAUUAAAUACACACAUAAUGUAAAAGAGUAGACAUCUACCACUUGCAUUUUAACAGGCAUUAGACAAAUGGGUUUGCUCUUGCAUCAUCAAAGGUUGCUAUCCACUCGGUCACUGUGAAACGCUCCCUGCGGGUUGGUGCUGUGGCGCAGCGGGUUAAAGCACUAGCCUGAAGCACCAGCAUCCCAUAUGGGCGCUGGUUCUAGUCUCAGCUGCUCCUUUUCCGAUCCAGCUCUCUGCUAUGGCCUGGAAUAGCAGUAGAAGAUGGCCCAAGUCCUUGGGCCCCUGCACCCUCGUGGGAGACCUGGAGGAAACUCCUGGCUUCGGAUUUGCGCAGCUCCGGCCGUUGUGGCCAUCUGGGGAGUGAACCAGUGGAUGGAAGCCCUCUCUCUAUGUCUCUACCUCUCUCUGUAACUCUGUCUUUCAAAUAAAUAAAAUAAAUCUUAAAAAAAAAUGCUUCCUGAUCUUUGGGUAAGGAAUCAAUGCAUGCAAACCUGCUCACAUAAGGCUAGGGAAUGAGAAUGAACAACUUCCUCCCAGCAGUGCCUCUGUUCUUGCUGUUACUCUCUUCUUUUGGUGAUCUCCAGGAUUCUUGGCUCUAACUAUCUACUUGGUUUUAUGGCAAUCCCAAGUUCCUUCCUGAAGCUGAUCUCUUAUGGCUUGUACUAUGCAAAGACACUAUGGCUCUGCUGAGACAAUAAGCUAAAAAAAAAAAUAAAAUACAGGGGCCAGUGCCGUGGUGCAGUAGGUUAAUCCUCCACCUGUGGUGCUGGCAUCCCAUAUGGGCACUGGUUCUAGUCCCAGCUGCUCCACUUCCAGUCCAGCUUUCUGCUAUGGCCUGGGAAAGCAGUAGAAGAUGGGCCAAGUCCUUGGACCCCUGCACCCAUAUGGGAGACGGGGAAGGAGCACCUGGUUCCUGGCUACGGAUCUGUGCGGCUCUGGCCAUUGCAGCCAUCUGGGGAGUGAACCAACGGAAAGAAGACCUUUCUCUCUGUGUCUCCCUCCCAAUGUCUGUAACUCUACCUCUCAGAUAAAAUAAAAUCUUUUAAAAAAAUACAGUUGCACUGAAGAAUAUAUGAAAGCACCAUGGUGGUAUUAAAAUAGAUAUCUAAUCUUCUGGAAAACUUUACCUAAGAGAGAUGAGGAUUUUGCUGACCUCUGAGAAAUUUUAGUUUCCUAUUUUUAUUUUGAGGUUCUUAGAAGAAAACAUGGAUUUUAAUGGGACUUUGAUUACAUAGCCAAUGCAACAUCAUGACCCAGUACCACUUUUGUUUGCAGCACUGAUCCUUAGGUCUAACAAAGACCACCAAUAACAAUGGAAAACUGUGGAAAUUCAUGGGUGCCUGCUUAUCUACUUGCUGGAUCUGUGCCUGUUUUCCCUUGUAUAAAUCAUAGAUAUCGUUCUUUUUAGUUGAGGUUAAAUGAUGAAGCCCUCAGUUGGUUUACUUUGCCACUUUGAUUUUUUUGUUCCUCAGCCUCAUCUCUUCCUCUCACCUCUCAUAAGCAAAGUGCAUUUUUCUUGGUCUUAUUUUAUACACGGUUUCAUGGCUUUAUCCUACUUUACUGAAGGGCUUUACCCUUUAUUGAUUCUUUAGAACUUACUAUACUUCUUUUUUCUUAAUUUUAUAUUAUCAGUAGCAAAAUCUGUCAAGGAGAAAAAUAUAUUUUCAAUUAAAAUUGAUACAAAUCUGUCUUACUGACAAGUAUGGCAAUUGAAAAUGCAUUGUUUUAUCAAAGGAAAAACAACAGCAUUCCAUCUCCAGUUCCUUUGUGAAAAAUACAUUUUUUAAUAAUUACAAUUAUAGCCUUUUUACUUUCUAUAUAAUGAAUAUAACAAGCAUUAUCUUAUAAAUGUAGUUUCAGGAAUGAUAGUAUAAUCCUUUCCACUGUCAUUAUUGAUUAAUUUGAUUAACAUUAUUCCUAAAAUACUACAAAGAACUAUUUUAGCAUUAAUUAAAUUUAUAUGAGGCCUCAGGUAGGAGCUGUGCAAGAGAUAUUGCAAGAAAAAUGGCUGUACUCCUAGGUCAGUGAUUUGCAAUUGCUCUUGCUGGCAGUUAUCUGAAUUUUGAAAGAGCAUGAAUGAUCAAGCAUGAAUAUGUGAGGCCAUAUUAGAAGUAUAAUUGUCUGAGAAGACUCGAGGCUACCUUUUUUUUUCCAUAUUCACUAUUUUUACUCUUCUUUCAGCAAUUCAUAUAGCUUAACAAAAAUGAACUAUUGGAUGUAAUUUAUUUUUACAGACUAUCAUGGUAUUAACAUGGUAUUAUCACUUAGAGAUAUGUUUUUGACCUUAUAAAUUAAAUGAAAAUACAUACUUUUCACUACUUAUUUAGAUGAAUAGAAAACUUUUUUUAUAGUGUUAAGAUGAUGGCUCUGCCUGGCAGGUAACUAUUCUUUUUUUUUUUUCAACUUUUAUUUAAUAAAUAUAAAUUUCCAAAGUACAACUUUUGGAUUAUAGUGGCUUUUUCCCCCCAUAACCUCCCUCCCACCUGCAACCAUUUCAUCUCCCACUCCCUCCCCCAUCUCAUUCUUCAUCAAGAUUCAUUUUCAAUUAUCUUUAUAUACAGAAGAUCAACUUAGUAUAUACUAAGUAAAGAUUUCAACAGUGUGCACCCACACAGAUGUACAAAGUAUAAAGUACUGUUUGAAUAGUAGUUUUACCGUUAAUUCCAAUAGUACAACACAUUAAGGACAGAGAUCCUACAUGGGGAGUAGGUGCACAGUGACUCCCAUUGUUGAUUUAAAUAUUGACACUCUUAUUUAUGAUGUCAAUAAUCACCCAAGGCUCUCGUCAUGAGCUGCUAUUAACUAUUCUAAUAUGUUUGUUACCAUUAUUGUAUAUACACUGGAGUGCUAACCAUCUAAUUUGAAAUGAAAUACACUGGUUAAAAUUCACUAAUAUAUUCAAGUGAUUUUUAAGGAUCUAAGCCCUUUCUCAUAUCCUGGAGAUAACAGAGACAUAAUCUGCAUCUUCCAUGUAGUUUUCAAUGUACUGAAAAGUAAUAAACAAAUGACAAAUCGUUUCUAAGUGUCCUGGUAGAAUUAUGUAGAGGGCAUAGUGGUGGCUUUAGGAAAGGAACUACCAACUAUUUAUGGAAGUAUUGUGUAAAGCAGUAAUUCUUAAAUUUAGUUUUCAAAGUCAGGAUUACAUAACUAGGAGGCAGGAAGGGGAAAAAAGUUAUUCUUGCAGAAAACAUGUUAAAAGUAGGAAAUAGGCUAAGACCUGGAAAGUCAGAUUUAGCAGACUGUAGUAAGAGAUAAGGCUUAAAUGAGCAGCCUUAGAACACAUGAGGCACCAUGAUAGAGUUUGGAUUUUAAGAAUAUGAUCUGAUGGCAAUAUUUAAAGUUAGAUUUAAGGAAGGUGAAAAUAUACUUGAUGUGUUAUGAAAAUGGUUAGUCUAUUGUAAUCCAAAAGAAUUGUAGAUGGCAGGGAAUAAGAAGAGAUCUUGAAGAGAGGUGAAAAGAUUUAAGAGUUUUAUAAUGAAGUUUAUAACAACUUGGACCUUGAUGGGAAUGGAAGCAGUUUAGGAUGGAAGGGAAGAGUCGGUGGUAGCCAUUGUCAUUGGGUUUGUGUAACUUAGUGGAUGUCAUUGUCAAUAACUGGAAAAAGGAAUAGAGGAAAUAGAAGUUUAAGCAAGGUUCUGCUACUGGUAUAAUAAAUUAUCUCCAAAAUUAGCCAUUAGGAGAACAAGCACACAGCCUAUAUUUUUCUUUGGUCAGAAGUUUGGGAACAACUUAGGAGUUAUGGCUAAUGUUCUUUGAUGCAGUUUCAGUAAAGAUGUUGGCCACAAUUACAAUCAUUUGAAGGCUUAAAUGAGGCUGUAGGAACUGUUUCCAAAAUAGUUUAUUCCACAGUUGUUGUCAGGAUGCCAGUUUCUUAUCACAUAGGUUUGCUUGAGUAUCCUCAUGACAAAGUAAUUGUUUUUUUCUGAGAGUGAGUGAGUAGGAUCAAGGAAGAAGCCACAAUGUCUUUUAUGACUUAGCCACAUAAGUCACACAUGCCGGUUCUAAAAUAUGGCUAGCCUAUCAUUGCACAGUUCAGCACAAUCUAAUAUGGGAGAGGACCUGGAAAAGGCAAAGAUACUAGGAAGCAUGGAUCAUUAGGGCCAUCAUGAAGCCUUGUACCACAGGGCAUGUUGAGUUCAAUUGUCGGUAAGUAGCAAUCUCAGGAAGUAGUAAAUAUAUAUACAGAGUCUGCAACAAUUCCUUCCAGAAACAAUAUUUAGAUGGAUGAUAGACAAAGGCAAAAACAUAACAUUAGAGAGUAUCUACAUUCAGAAGUCAUUCAGAGGGAAUUACUAUAUUAAAAAGACUGAGUGGGCCGGCGCCAUAGCUCACUUGGUUAAUCCUCUGCCAGCAGCGCCAGCAUCCCAUAUGGGCGCCAGGUUCUAGUCCUGGUUGCCCCUCUUCCAGUCCAGCUCUGUGCUGUGGCCCGGGAGGGCAGUGGAGGAUGGCCCAGGUGCUUGGGCCCCUGCACCCGCGUGGGAGACCAGGAGGAAGUUCCUGGCUCCUGGCUUCGGAUCCGCGUAGCUCCGGCCGUGGCGGCCAUUUGGGGGGUGAACCAAUGGAAGGAAGACCUUUCUCUCUCUCUCUCUCUCUCACUCACUCACUCACUGUCUAACACUAUCUGUCAAAUAAAAAAGAAAAAAAAAAAAGACUGAGAAAGGAAGAAUCAGAGAAUGGGGUCAGUAGUUAGAUUAGUAGUUCAGAAACUCAAAAUAGUUUCGUGUGGUAUAAAAAAUAAUUAAUAACCUUUGCCAGUGAGUAAGAGUACAAAACUAAUGACACAGAACAUGAAAAGGAAGUAAAAAAAAAGGGACUAUAAGUUAUAAUUACACUUCCAGGGACUUGCCUAAGCCAUCAGAAAGGGGUUCUAUGAUGGACAGCAGAGUACAUGAGGAGAUCAUGUGUCUGAUGGGAGGAACCUGGAGACAGAGAAAAUACGGAGAAACUGAGGCAAUAGUAAGGGUAACCGAAAGAGGAGAGGAGUAAAGCAGAAACAUUUCUCAGCAAAAGGCUCACUCUGAAUUUGGAUAAAAGUUUCCUCCUCCUCUGGAGUCAAUUUUUGCAGAGAUAUGAAAUAGGCUAUGGGUAUCAUUAGGGGAAAUUAAUUUUCACCUGCUGGAGAGAACAGAUUUUCUCUUAAAAAAAAAAGUUCUUGUGACAAUGUGGUCUAGAAUAUUAGAGUUGAAAAUAGGUAGCUUGGAACACUCUUGUGAAGAGUGGAAAGAGAUUACCACACCAAGAUGGCUCAGUGUUCACUGAGAAUAAAGAGCACAGAUUUGUAGUGGCACCAGAGGAUACACUGAACUUAGAAAUAUGGAGAUAAUAAAACUAGGUCACCAAGAGAAAAUAUUUUCAGGUGGUUCUGGUGGUCUCUGGUUUUAAAUACAGUUUUGACAUUUACUGUUGUGUAAUCAAAGAUGGGUUAAAGAAAAAAAAGUACAGGGUAUAAGUGUAUAUUAAAGUAGCUAUUAUGAAACUUGUGGAUUUUUUUUUUUUUUUUUUUUUUUGUAUUAAAGAGGCUUACUAGGGUUGUGUCAUGGUAUAGCAGGUAAAGCUGCUGUCAUUCCAUGUGGCGGUGGUUUGUGUCCUGGUUGCUUCACCUCUGAUCCAGCUUCCUGCUGAUGACCUGGGAAAAGUAGCAGAAGAUGCCCCAAGUAUUUGGACCCCUCCCAUCUACAUCUGCAUGGUAGACCUAGAAGGAACUCCUGGCUUUGGCCUGGCCCAGCCCCGGCUGUUGAAGCCAUCUAGGGAGUGAACCAGAGGAUAGAAGAUCUCUGUCUCUCUGUAAUUAUUUAAAAUAAAUAAUCCUUAAAAAAAAAAAAAAAAACUUCAAAACUUUCUGUUACUUCAAUAAACACAUUUAGUUAGAAGCAUUUUUAUGAAAAUGUUUGAAAUACAAUAAAUGAAUUCUUAGAUUUGUUAUCUGAUUUUAUAGAUCAAGGAGUUAGAUUUAUGUGCUGAAAGGAAAUGCAGAGACUAAUAAGUCAACAGCUACACAUGCCAUGUGAUACAAGAUAGCAUAGAUAACCAAUGGACAUUCCCACCUGCCUCUCUUUGUGUGUGUAUAUGUGUGUGUGUGUGAUUUAUUUUAUCUCAAAAGAGAAUCCAGAACCCAAAUCAUUACAAAUAUCAUUAGAUCUCCUUUUUUGAAAUCUGUUAAAAUCAAAUAGUUUUCCUUUUGUAUCUCCUUUUGUUAACUUUAAAGAGUUCAACAUUCUGUAAUUAUGUAUAAAUAUGCAUGUGAAUUUAUCAGAAAAGCUCCAUUUUGCAGUUGUCUUUCAGUCCAUCAGAAUGUUCUACAAAACCUAGAUGAAAUUUAAUAUUGUGAACUAAAGCUAUGUUACAGUAUAUCAGUGUUUUCCUAUAUGGUUAUGGCCAGAAGAGAAUUUGUUGACAUUAAUUUAUUUUAAUGGAAACGGUAGGCUUUCUGAGUUGUUAAAUUGGCACAGGUACACUUUAGAAUGUUGCGUAAGGCUUAUUUCAGUUCCAGAAGGGGCCAUGGUUUGAUUAGGGGAUAAGAUAGCUCAGUAUUUGCAAGAAUAACCUGUAUCUCAUGGAAAUAGAUUAUAGCGUUACACUUCAUUUUGGACUAAUCUGUUUCUUAGAUUUUUGCCUUGAUGAUGAAUUUUCUUCUCAAGCAUAAAAAAUGAAAAUAUCAACAAAUACAUUACAGAAUUCUUAGAUAUUUAGAGUUAUUGGGCAUAUUGGGCAUAUAAAGACCAACCAAUGUAAAAAAUCUUAGCAACAUUGAAAAGAAUCAUUUCAUUAGCAUGUUAUUUUUGUGUGGCUAUGCCAAAAUAUUUGAAGCUGGAUAUUUCAUAAAGGAAGUUCGCUUAGUUCCAUUUCUGGAAGUCUGAGAGCUUGGAUUCAGUAUCUGCUCACCUUCUGGUAAGGGCCUCAUGGUGAAUUGUGUUAUGUGGUAGGAAUGUGUGUGUAUGAGAGGGAAAGAGGGGGAGAUAGCUAAAGAGCUGCACAAAACUAGAGAGGAAGCAAGUUGACCCUCAUGACAACCUGGCUCACUCCUGUGAGAUAAAACAUUAAUGCUUUCUGAGAUGGUGUCUCCAUGACAAAAUCAUUUCACUUCUUAAAGUUCUACCACCUCUCCUAUCAAUACUGUUAAAUUGGGGAUCAAGCUUCUGGCACAUUAACUAUCGGGGCACAAGUCAUAUCUAAUCCAAAGCACAUGAAAAUGCAGUUUUUAUAUCUGAAACAAUUGAAUCAGGUACUUAAUGUUGUAUGUACAUCAUUUGUUAACUGUAGAGCAUUUUAGUGAUCAGUUGAACUUUGACAACAAAGGGUAACUCAAUGAUGGGGAAAGUAGUUAAGAAAGAUCAAAUAGAUAAUUGUUGGAUUAAUCCAGGUUUAUUAUCAUAUCUAUACAUUUAUGCUGCCAGUGAGCUAGCAUAACCUUAUGACUUCCUUUCUCCUGAUGAAGCAUGACUGAUUCAGCUUGUCAUAUGUGUGACCCCCAAGCUUGAAAAGCAUUGUGGUACACACUUGGCUUUUGGGGAGAGGAGCUCUAUGGAUUUACCUGUUUUCCCAUCUAUGCUGUGCUUGGUGCAGUGCUGCACUUGGAAUGGCUCACAUUGAUCUCUUGAUUCUGUGGUAAUUAAGAUGUAUUUUGCAGCACAGCCCAUGGAUUCCAAGGCUCAUAGGAUUAGUCAAUAGUUUUCUGCAACCCUGCCAUUAGCAGGGCAAACUGUCUUAAAGAAAUAGUAUGUUUUCCUUAGAGCAUGUGCAUUUUCUUGUAUUUCAGGAGAGUUGAUGUUCUGCCCUGCAGUCAGAGAUGGAGGUAGGCAGCUGUGAGAAGGUAGACACAUAAAUGGACUGGAGUUCUAAUUCCAGCCCAGAGCAUUGCACCCAAGAAAAUCUGGGCAGAAUUAGUCUGUCUGAACCCAAGUGCUCAUCUAUAAGGAGAGACAAUUCUUGCUACUAUCAUCAUAGAAUUGUUGUAAGUGUCAGAUUCAUUAGUGUGAAAUAAAUUGUGUUGAAAUCUAUGAAGCAUAAUAUAUGAGCUUUGGAAUUGGAAUGAAUCAGUAAAAAAAUUAGAGUGUUAAUUUAAAAUAUACAUAGGAAGAGAAUGAGGCAUAAAUUCAGAGGUGAAAGGAAGAAGUGAGAAAUGAGCUGUGGAGUUGAAAGUUUGGAAGGGAGACAGUGCAGGGGAGACAGAAAAGCUAUACUUUAUAGGAAAAUAAAAGGGUUGCAAGUAGGGGAACAGGAAUGAAGAGGCAUAACAGCAAAAGCAUGAGAUAAAAAAGGGUAUGGGCUUAUGGCAUAUCCAGUGCUUUUAGACUAUUGUGGGCCUGGUGCUGUAGUUAUUGGUAUGCAAAGAACUGCUAAUGUCUGUCCUUUAUCAUUCAGAUUUUCAUGUUAAUGCCAUGGAAAAAUUAACAAACCCUUUGUCUUCCAAAUACUCUUGCUUACUGACUACAGUAGACCUGAUAUCGGAAAUGACCCCCUAAAUUCUAUACAAAAAUGUGGCCCUUGAAGUUCCCCAAAAAUGCCAUCUGGGUUGCCACAUAUGCUACCAGAAUUUGGGGUGCCAUACGAUAUCACCAUAUGCUUAUUAAUAAAUCCCCAAUAUUAAUAAGCCCAAGAGGGUUCUUGCCUAAUAUUUAAAGAAGAAUUCUAAAUACCAGCACAGAUAAACGAGGCAGCAUGGUACAUUUUAAGCCUUUAUUUAGUGAGAAAGAUGCAUAGAAGAGUGGGAGCUUUAUCUAAGAGAGAGAGAGGUAAAUCUGGGUUCAUACCCAGCACCAGGAACCAGCCCCGUGGUGGAGCAUCUAGGCCAGGAAGCCUAAAGCGGGUAGUCUGAAGGCCACGCGCCCUGGAGGCUCAGGGCUACAGCAAGGCCCCUCCUGGCAAGAGGCCAGGGAAGAAGAGAAGGGCAGGACACACAGUGUCCCAGGCUUUUAACCCACUUCCAAAGGGGAGUGGUUAAUUAACCUGAUUGGCUUGUGGGCACCCAGGUGUGGCCAGGUAGGGGCAGGAGGUCACACAGGGGCGUGGUGAAGGUAUCAGGUAGCACAUGAGGUCACACAGGGGCAUGGUGAAGGUGUGGUCUUCCAGCUCACAAAGCUAAUGGAUUUUAACCUGUAUGCCUGCCUACUUCAGACCCAAAGCUGUUAUCUUGUGGUCUGACUUACUAGUCUUAUGUCCUUAACUCUUACAGCAGCACACACUCAGCCAACCAAGUGAUCACCACAAUCAUCCAAAGGAGCUGGCAAAAGGUGCUUGCAGAUGUCACAUGGGUCUAGCCGUGUGUAUCUCUCCCUGGAAGAAGAAAUCUUGAAGUCACCAACAGCUAAACUGUUGCAUUUAGAUGAAAGAAAGAAGGUAAUGGAGUUGGUAUAAUUUGUCGAGGAAAUACUUGAUUAGUUAAGACUAGCUUACAUAAAAUUCUUAAGUAUUGUAUUUAUUUUCAACAAUAGGUAGGUAUGAGGCAAAGAAAAGUGAUGGACUUACUACGCUGCCUGCAUUUGAAAGAAUUUAUUCCAGUGAGUUGAGGGAAUUGCACACAUAACUAGUUGUGAGACUGAGACCUAGAUGUAUAGGAGUAUGGAUUUUCUGUGUUAUUUGACUAAUAUAUUUCAGUCCCUACUAUCAAAACUAAAACACUUAUCAGUGACACUAGAAAGAAACUGGAUUUCAGUUUCAGAUAACCAUUGGAUAAAUUUGUCUGUUUUCCUAAGAUCACAAAAAUGAUUAUUAUAUCAUAGGGUUUAUUUUUAUUAUUGAUUUGGGAAGUAUAAUCUUUUCCUUUAUGUGUCUUUAACCCUUAAAUUAUUGGAUUAAAUUGAUCAGGUGACUUUAUGAAGACUAAUUUCUUUGACUAGAAUUGUCCUCUGAUGGUGGAUACUGAGGAAACAUGUGUUUAUGAUGUACUUAGGUGUAUAACACUUCUAUCAGGAUUAUCACAUUUGGUGAUAUAACCUGAAUUAACUCAUCUGAAUCACAAAUAAAAAUCCUGAAUGUCUGUUAGCAAAAUGAAUAGUGAAUGAUUAAUCCCUCUGUCAGGAUUUGGUUAUCCAUUCCCUCAAAUUACCUUAAAUGUCAUUAAAUUUUUGUUGCCUAGCUCCAUACAAAAUGAAAUUCAGAGAUGAGGUUUAAAUAGAGAAAACUAAAUGAUAUGCGUAUUUCUUCUGAAAUAAAACAGAUACUUAGAAUUCCAGGAUUUUAUGGUUCAAGUUUUUAAAUUUGUGAACAACCCAAAUACCUAUUGUAAGAGGUAAUAUAAGAUAUUGCCAAAUAUAGGAGUUGAGUUAGUUAUAUGAAAGCCAAUCAGUGGCUUAUUAUGCAACAAUCACAAUUCAGCAUGAAUUCAGGGUAUACAUUUAUUUCCAUAGACUCAAACGCUCACCUAGGGUCAGAAAGGGACUCUUAACAUUUUACGGGGAAAAUAUUAUUAAGAACUCAGGAGUUAGAGAACAUUUAAAAGGUAACUCAUGAGAAUGUCAAAGAUGAAUUUCUUUUUUUAAUCAAAGGUGAAUUUCUUCUUUUUAAAGAUUUAUUUAUUUAAUUAUUUGAAAGUCAGAAGUGGAGAAAGAGAAAGAGAGGUUCUUCCAUCUGCUGGUUUACUCCCCACAUGGCCACAACGGCUGCAUCUGGGCCAAUCUGAAGCCAGGAACCGGGACCUUCUUGUGGGUCUCCUACGUGGGUGCAGGGGCCCAAGAAGUUGGGCCAUCUUCUGCUGCUUCCCCAGGCAAAUUAGUAGAAAGUGGAAUCAGAAGUGGAGCAACUGGGAUUCAAACUGGUGCCUAUAUGGGAUGAUGGCACCACAAACGGUGGCUUAACCAAUAGCGACAUAGCGCUGUCCCUCAAAAAUGACUUUAUUUAAAGCACAUUAACUUCAUCAUCUCCUCUGAACCUCUCAGUUCCUCUCUCCCCAUUUCCAGGGAUAUCUGCCUAGGACUUCAGUCAAGGAAAUAUAUAGAUAUUAAGCUUCGUUAAUAAAUAGUAAGGCUUUCACUUAAAUCUAUAUCCAACUUCCAAAUGUGUAACUCCUGCUGCUGCACUGGACCAUGCCUGUAAGUACAUGGCAUGCUUAGGAGUGUAGGUCUCUCCAAAGCUCGAAUACCACCGUGCUGCUUAGCCCUCUGUGUUCAAGCCCAAGAUUCUUAAAGAGAAUUUAGCUUCACCAGAUUUCAGAUCCUUUCUCUCCCAGAGAACAUUGUGCUUCUAUGGUGCUGGCCUACUUUUAUUCCAAGAUUGGAGCUGCAUAAAACUAAACUUUGGCUCUUGGGAAGUUUAAGGUUGGCCUUGGGAAGUUUAAGGUUGGAAUAUUCUGAAUGGUGCUUUUGUGGAAGCAGUACUCUGGGUCUCUUAAAAGCACACUUCACAGAGAGGAGUUGCAUCUCUCUCAAAUCCCACAGGCAUCUCUCCAUACUUAGAGAGUAUAGAGAGAAAGAAGUCGCUAAUGGAGUUUAAAAGGUUACCUUCAUUAACUAAAAAUAAAUGUAAAAUGAAUGGCCUCCCUUCUAAAAGGGAGCAUUCUGCAUGGUCAUUGUUAAAUGAAAUGAAAGAAAGAUGAGUUUUGAUGAUGUUAUCCCAGUGUGUGGGGCUCACUGCUGUUCAUAACCGUCUGCCACCACACAGUCCUCCCUGGAACCCGAUUGGACUCCAGGGCCCUCGUAAUGUUCGAAGGUGUGUGCAGAUCAAUUUCCUGCAUCAUUUCUGCCAUGGUAAAUCAUUUAUUGGGAUGAAUGUUUUACAAAGGCAGGCAAGAGCAAAACUCAUGAAAAAUAAAUAUGGUAAAAUACACUCGUCUGUGCUGCAUCAGUCUUCAAGGCUUUGUCGUGUUUAAAUUCUCUGUGGCAUUGAAGCAGUUAGAACAUUUCCCCUCAUUUGGUUGCACUGUGGCCAGUUGAACUCAAUUAACGCGUGGUGCCACUGAGGCCAAAAGGGUACAUUUUAUUUCCUCACAUAUCAUUUGACUCACUCUAUUCCAUGACCACAGAUUCCUUUGUCUGAUCCCAUGAGCAGCAGGGGCAGUUGUCAAAAUAGGGAGUGGGGCCCGGCAAAGAGGGAAGGAUUCAGUUCUACUCAUCCUUACUACAGACAAAAGCAAGCCAGCCAGCAAACAAAAGCAAGGAAGUGCCACACCUGGUGUGCCACUGAGCCUGAGUUCUAAGAACUGACAGAAUAGUAUGCGUAUUAUGCACACUCAAAAGUUAUUUCAAAGUAAAUUAUUUUAACCAGUGGGCAAAGUUAAAAGAAUUGGUUUCCUCAUGAUAAAACUAUUUUGUGACUGAAUAUUUGAGUUAAAUCCAUCCCUCAGCUGAAAAGGUGUCAUAAUAAGCAUUAAAACAAAGCAAAUAAAACCCUGACAUGAAUAGCAACAGUGAGGACUUUGGUCCCCAAACUCUAAUGCUUCCUGUGUUAGAUAAAAUGAUGGAUAAAGUGCUAAGCUACGUGUCCUGAUUUCAUAUCCGACACAUUUCACAAUGGGAUCUAGUUCCGAACUCAUGACUACCUGUAAAAGUUUUUUACUUUUUUAAAUUAUUUUUUACAUUUUACUGAUAAACAGAGACUAAAAAACCUCCCGAAUGCCAUGGAAUUAGUGAGGUCGUACCAGGCUUCAAGUCAGCUCUGUCUGAAAUUUGAACGAUGCUGUGUGUGGCUGUGUCUGAACAGGUUCCAGGUAGAGCACUGGAAAUGUGUCCCAGCAAGGUAAGCUCGUGUCAGUCAUGAAGGGAGACAAAGAGGCAGCAGCAUCUUCAAUUGGAGUAAUAUAGAAUGGAGCAGAAUACGGAUCCUCAAACGGGAAGUCAAAGAUGGUAAAUGACAGGAGAAGUCCUCUAAAUGUCUCUCCUACGAGGACACCUUUGCUUGGUUGCGCCAUCUUGACUGGGUUUUGAUUAAAUCUCUCCAGAACCUUCCUUUGGGAAUUCUUCAGAUUCUCUGGUGCUGUCCUUUGUCAAGAGGAGGAAUUGAGAAUAUUUCUGAUUGGCAUUUCAUUCCCAGAAGCAUUCCGUAGAUUUGAAUUAAUAACUCUUGUACACCCCACUCCCUCACUCUGCCCAGUCCAUCUGCUACCCUGCCAUAUAUCAAUCUAAGAAGGACUUUACAUUUAAAAAAUCAGUUCCCAGUGCAAGGAUAUCAGUGAUUCAUCCUGAUUUUAAACACUUCCUGAAAUAUGUCCAAUCACAUUUCUAGCUGUCUCCCCAGCAUGUACACUCUGCUGUGGCCAUAUUUUCGUCACUUACAUUGGGUACAUUACUCUCUUCACCUUUGCUUAAGUGUCCUGUUAUGUCCUGUAAUUUUUUUUUUCCAUCUCUGAUGCGCACAUCUGAAUCAAGUCAUUGAAAAAUUGUUUUAAUAUUUAGAAAACCUAGUAUAAAGGAUUAUUAAAAAUGGUCCCUAUGGGCCAGCAUUGUGAUGUAGUGGGUAAAGCUGCCAUCUGCAACACUGGCAUCCCAUAUGGGCACUAGUUUCUCUCCUGGCUGCUCCAUUUCUAAUCCAGCUCCCUGCUAGUGGCCUGGGAAAAGCAGUGGAGGGUAGCCUGAGUGCUUGGGCUCAUGAGAGACAUGAGAGACCUGGAGGAGGCUUUUGGCUCCUGGUUUCAGCCUGGCAGAGCCCUGGCCAUUGAAGAUAUCAGGGGAGUGAAUCAGAAGCUGGAAGAUACCUCUGUCUUUCCCUCUCACUCUAUAACUCUAUCAAAUAAAUAAAUUUUGAAAAAUAAAUAAAAAUGUUCCCUAUAGUCUAAAAAGAACCAUUGCAAGGCUUAUUACCAGCUUUUUCUACAUUUUUAAUGAAGCAUAAAUGUGUAUAUAUAUAUAUGUAAUAUAUAAAUAUACCUUCAAAAUAUGGGUCACAUUAUACAACAUUUUUACUUUUUACAGCAUGGCAGUAUUUUUUUACAUCAUUAAUUAUUUUUAAAAAUUUGGUCUGGCAUUGUGGUGUAGCAGGUAAAGCCAAUACCUAUGACUCGGGCAUCCCAUGUGGACGCCAGUUUGUGUCCAGGCUGCUUCACUUCCUAUCCAGCUCCCUUCUAAAGGCUGGGAAAAGCAGCAGAGGAUGGUCCAAGAAUUGGAAGUGCCUGGCUUUGGCCUGGCCUUGCCCUGGCUUAGCCAUGGGUAUUGGGGCCACCUGGGGAUUGAACGUACAGAUAGAAAAUCUCUCUCUCUCUCUCUCUCUCUCUCUCUCUCUCUCUCUCUCUGUGUGUGUGUGUGUGUAUGUCUGUCUCUACUUCACUCUCUGUAAUAUUGACUUUCAAUAAAAUAAAUCUUAAUUAAAUUGUACAUCAACAGUCAGGACAAAGGCUGAUCAAGUCACUGUUUCUCAUAGUGUCCCUUUCACUUCAACAGGUUUCCUUUUUUGUGGUUGGUUAGUUGUCACCAAUCAGGGAGAACAUAUGAUGUUUUUAUCUAAAAAUAUGAAUAUUUUCAAAUCUCAUUAUUAUUAAAAAACUACCCAGAAAAUUACCUCAAUUUAUAUUCACACCAACAAAAUAAGACACUGUCUAAUUCACCCUAAAGUUAAGUAUUAUCUUUAUAUUGCUUCCCAAUUUUAUAAUCUUUUAUCCCAUUAUGAUUAAUUUCUUCAUUUGUUAUUCAGUAGAGUUCAACCUUUAAAACUUAAUGGUUAUUUUUUUACAGUGAUGUAACUCUGUGGCCUCUGCCUAUUUUCUUGCUCUUCCAUAAAAGAGUAACAAGAAAAUGAAAAUUAUCAAAUUUUUGUUUUACCCCAGUUUUCUAAAUUCAUAUUGUUGAAAUUAGGCAAUAAUUGGUAAACUUAUUUAAAACCAUAUACAAUUGUAAUCAGUUACUGCUGUGGCUGCUUUUUUUUUUUCUUUUUUAAGAAAGAAUGUGUGUCAUACAAGGGUAUGAUUGCUCAAUUUUCUAUUUGUCAAAUAGCUUAAAUCUCUAGACUGUUGACUACAAAAUGAAGGAGGAAUGGGCUGGUUUUUUUCUUUUGUUUAAUUAGAAAGACUGGUUUGAUGUAAAACAUGGGUAGGCUUUCCAUCUAUUCUAGAUCCUGGCCAAAAAAAUUUUUUUUUUCAAAUUUUAGUUGUCACUAAGAAUGUGAGUUGACUAUUUUGAUUGGAAGCCUAAGCAAGUGCCAGCAUUGAAGUCCUUUCCAAGAAAACUAGAAGUGGAAUCAUUUGUCCUUCAUUGUAAUGUUUGAGUACAACCAGUUUAACAUUUGCUAUUUCUUUUGUUUAAAAGAUUUAUUUGAAAGGCGGAGUUUUAUACACACACACAAACACACACACACACAGUCGUUUUAUUCACUGAUUGACUCCUCAAAAGGCUAUAAUGGUCAGAGUGGGGCCAGACCAAAGCUAGGUGCCUAGAACUUGUUUCCCAAGUGGGUGCAGGAGCCCAAGAACUUGAGCCAUCUUUUGCUGCUUUCCUAGGGGCACUAGCGGAGAACAGGUUUGGAAAUGGAGCAGCCAGGACUUGACUUGGUGCUCAUAUGAGAUGCUGGUAUCAGGCAGUGGCUCAAUUCUCUGUACCACAAUGUUGACCCCAAGUAUUUGCUAUUUCUCUGUUUUAUUUUUUUCUUUUACACUUUUUUUUUCUUUUGCAAGAAAUGCAAUUUCAAUUUCUGUUAGGUCUUGUAACUUGAAAGAUUUCUGGAUAUUACUAAAUGGCAUAUUUUUUGGCAAGGAACAUGGAGUCUACCUAUGCAUUAGCAAAACCAGCUUACAACAGUUAGAAUAGGAAAGGAUUGAAAUGUAACCUUUUUGAGCCCUAGUUUUCUAAACUGUAAAUAUUCACAGGUCUUGAUAGGAUGAAUUCAUGUAUAUGAAGCUUAGAACUUUGAUUUCUUCCUUAUCUUCUUUUAUAAUCCAACCUUAUCUAUGAAAUUCUGAUUCAAGUACUUAUCUGAUUUUGUGAAUGGGAAACUUUUUGUUACAAUUUCUCGUUCAUAAAUGCAUGUCUUUUUUGAAUGAUAGGUCCAAAAUUGUGAGCUAGAUUGUUAUCAUAAUUUGAUAGAACAUGUGUUAAGUAAUUUCUUGGGCUGCCAAUAAAAACAUGCAUUUUUAUCUUUCAGGUAGAAUCCAAGUUAAUUUUGGUAAGUAAAAAAUCACAGAAAAUCAGCAAAGUUGUUGAAUAAAGCCAGUGAUUGAGACAGGCACCUACUUAUACAUAACAUUUCCUUCAAACAAUCUAUACCUACUUCACCAUUAUGCAUAAGUUUACCUUAGAUGGGAGAUCUUUAAUAAGUCUCGGAUCUGGCUCAGUGUUCCCCAGACUUAUAGAGCCAACUUGGAAAAAAUAAUACCCAGGCACCCAGCCAUUGCACAUCUCCUCAGGCAGCUGUUAAGAAUGAUGUUGCGAGACACAUUGCUAGAAAUGAAGGCUUUACAGCUGUUUGAGAAAAUGUCCUCCAAUUUGUAAGCAGUGCUAUUCCCCCUGCACUAUACACUGAUCCAAGGUGAAAGGGGAAUCCAUGUUAUCCCUAGUUAACUUCAAGAUUUCUCUUUCCUCUAAAAUCCAUUUGGUAACUAUCAUUUCCUUAGUUCAAUAAGAAUAACAUUGUGUGCUGUGUUUUGAGUUUUAAUUAAAACAAAAAAAGCCCAUAUUUUAUUUCUUUACACAAACUCGCUUGUAUAGAGCCAAAGCAUGAAAUCUAUGUGACAUUUUUUCUUUAUCCCUUGUAUUCACAUCUCUUUUGUCUCUUAUCUUUGGAGUCCUAGCUUGCUGUGCAGAUGUAUAAAAUUAGUAGGCCAGUACCUGAAGCAUCAAAUUAAAACAAAAAUACUUGCUGAUCAGAUAAUAAUUAACCUGUUUCUGUAUCACUUUCCUGUUGGAUAUAAAGUUCACUUGCAAAGUGGUUUUCUAUUUUAUGCUACUGUUUUUGUAGGACCAUAAUUAGAAACUCUGAAGAGAUAACUUCUCAAUCACAUUAGGAUUUGCACAAAAUUUACUGAUGCCCAAGGCAUGUUCGCAGAGUUGGCUGAUUCCAAUUUUUACAGAGUGAGUUAUGUGGCUUUCCCAAGAUCUGCAGAACAAGCACAAAGUAAAGCAAUUAAAAAGACACCAUUGAAAGAGAAUUUGACUCCUGCGAUAUAGGAAGAAUUGAGGACAGUUAAGGAGAAGUGGUUCAAAUCUAUCAAAUGCACCUUUGUGUGUGCUUUCAGUUAAGUGCUAUUGAUGAGAACGCAUCUGAAAGAAGUGGGGAACACAAUGGAAGAUGAGAAUGUGGAAACACAAAGUAUGCUCAAUACUAUUAGGAAUAUUGUUAAACCACUGGUGCCAUAUGCUGAAGUCACCGUCAUAGAUCUCUUCUAAUUAUAGGGAGAACCUUUGUAUUCUAGGGUCAGAGUCUUCAUAUAGUUGCAUCUAUAUCAUAUGUCUUUGCUGUGAAACAAGGACAGGUAAAAGGGAAGUUCGAUAAAGGUGGUGUCCUAGCUCCAAACAAGACUCACAUAAUGGGAGAUUAUCUAAAUGAAAAGCGGAUUUUCAGAUAUUGUGUCUGCAUUGUAUCUUUUGCACUCAUUGUGAUCUCUCAUUCCAAAUGCAACUACAAUCAUUUUGACCACCAUUCUUCAACAUCUGUCUAGUAGUUUUUUUCUUCCUCCAGCUUCUGUCUGUUAUGAGUCAUUACUAUAUUAGAUUAGUUUUCAUCUGUGUCUCUGAUCAUCGCACCUCCAGAUAGAAAAUACUCAAUCUUUCCCCUAAUUUUCUAUUUAUUUCAGAAUAAAUUUCUAUUUAUUUCAGAAUAAAAUCCAAAUUCCAUAAUCGGGAGUCUAAAGCACUUCAUGAUUAAUUCACAGCCAGUUUUUUUUUUUAAGUUUUUAUUUUCUGAUUUUUUUAAAGUACCCUCCACAACAAGACUGAAUUAUCAUUUAAGGUGGAUUUUUAUUUUUGCAUAAUGCUACUCAGUUACCAUUUCUAAAAGUGUCCCCAUGUUUCUGUCUACUCUUCGAGUAAACCUCCUAGAAUUCUACUCCAGGAGGAAAUCCAUUUUCCAUACUGGAUGCACAACAUCAUUGAGAAUUUUGUAUGUAUAUGGGGGUAUAUAUGACACACAUAACAUAUACAUACAUGCAUUACAUAACAGUAGCAAGGAUAUAUUCUGACAAAUGUGUCAUUAGGCAAUUUAGUUGUACAAAUAUUAUAAAGUAUAUACAAACUAAGAUGGCUGCAACAUCACUAGGUAUGACAAUAUUAUGGUACUACUAUCAUAUAUGCAGUUUAUGAUUGAUAGAAACAUUUUUAUGUGGCCAAUUUGUAUGUAUACAUAGAGACUUCUUUGUUAAUUUCAUUUUAAUUUUUGGAUUACCCAGUCUUUAGGCUUGAGCAUUUUGCAUCCUACAGCUCUGUAGAAAACUAUAGCCCUUUCUCAGUUGGCCCAAGAUAUUCAUGAUUUUCCAGGGGUUAAAAUUUCUUGAUCACUUCUGCCUCUGAAUCUCUUGAAUGUUGUCUUUUUAUCAUUUAAUUCAAGUGAAACAUAUCCUUGUGUUGUUUCUCACACAAAUAAAAAUCAGUUAAACAAAUGAACGACAAAAACCUACUGAAGAUGUGGUUACAAGGAAGGAUCUGGUUUUCCCAACACACAAACUGGAUUUUUGAUUGCAUAUUUGACAGUCCUAUGCUUAAAUAGUCUUUUGUUUGUUCCACAGCGAAAAGGUUCCAAAUUUCCCCCAUAUGUAGCAACUAUUUUUAUACUACCUUCUGAGAAGGCCACUUCCUUUCAUUAUUUAACUUUUGAUUACAGUUCAAAUUUUUUUCUUGGUUACCAGGUUUCUAAGCCAUCUAUGAUUUGGGCUUCAUCCUUUGUAUAGAGUGGCCUAUCCUACCAUGUAUACUAAAAUCAUUCACUUCACAAAGGGCACUCUUAAAUGUUAGCUGUUAAAUUUUUUUACCUGAUUAUGAGUUUAUAAUACUCAUAUUUCACUAGGCAAAAAAAUUUUCAGCACUUAGAAUCAUAUAUAUGUGUUCUGACAUAUGGGGCAUUGAGUAAAUUAGGAUGAAUGUGUGAAUGCUUCUUAGUGUUUUUCUAUCAGGUGAAGUUUUUUUUUGUUUUGUUUUGUUUUGUUUCUAUUUUUGACAGGUAGAGUUGUAGGCAGUGAGAGAGAGACAGAGAGAAAUGUCUUCCUUCCGUUGGUUCACUCCCCAAAUGGCUGCUAUGGCCGGCACUGCACCAAUCCGAAGCCAGGAGCCAGGUACCUCCUCCUGGUCUCCCAGGCGGGUGCAGGGCCCCAGGCACUUGGACCAUCCUCCACUGCCCUCCCGGGGCACAGCAGAGAGCUGGCCUGGAAGAGGAGCAAACAGGACUAGAACUGGGUGCCCAUAUGGGAUGCCGGCGCUGCAGGCAGAGAAUUAACCAAGUGAGCCAUGGGAACAAAGUGUUUAUUUUUGUAUUUCUCCAAGUAGUUUAUUCAAAACUCAGCAGAAAUGCAUAAGAAUGGGUCUAAAUAUUAUUUAUAGUAAGUAAAUCAUGUAUCUAGUUGAAUAAAUAUUUAUUUAAAAAGAGUGAGCAGAGACCAUGAGUUCUGGUGGGAGAGACAUCAGGUUGGGUUGAGAUGGCAGUCAAGGACAUUUCUGUUUGCACCAGUGUGUUGGUUGAAGUUUGUGUUGGUUUCUGUUUGCUGUUACUUCUGUAUUUAAAUUAAAGACAAUAAAGUCUUCAGGACUCAGGAAACCUAGGUAUAUUGCUCACUGAUACACAAUGGCAUUCAUAUAGAAGCUGCUUCCACCAUUCUCAUUGGUUUCCCAGGAUGUGUCAGGUCUCCCCUGUGGGACAAUACUACCUCCUCCUGGCAGACACUGCCUUGUGUUCCAUAUAUAGCUCCACAGUACUUAGGUGUUCAAUCAAUUUUUGUUAAAGUGAAUUGAUUAGAAUUGGGAAGUCCUAUGAGUUUCUGGGUAUUGACUCUCAUCUUUGUUCCACUUUAGAAAUGGCAAAAUCUUUUAUGUUCUCCAGAGACGAAAGCAUAUACCCAGUGCUUCUAAGUAAAGACUUUUUUUUUCUACAUUGAAUAUUGAAAAAUUGAAGAAAACAAAUGAAAAUGAAUGAAAUCUAUAAAGAUGAAAUAAUGGAAUAUCCUUUUUUAGAUGAAUCAACAAAACCAAUACUCUAAAGACAGGGUAUUUAAUCAAAUAAAUAAAUCAAAUGCUAAGUUAAAUUAAAGGCCAUCAAAGAGAAAUAGUUUUUCAGAUCUUUAACAAGGAUGAAAAAUUGAACCAUAUGUCAGAAAUAAGAAUGUUUUGUUUUUGUAUAACAUAGCAAUGUUUCUCAAAAUGUGGCUUGCAUGAAAAAUAGUCCAGGGAGGGAGAGCUCUUACUCCUCGAAAGAGAGAGGCUGUUUAGCUAGAGCAGCGCCUGUGAUAGGCAGAUUCUCGAAUGGGAAAACAAGUGUUUUGUUUUGAAAUCUGCUAGUAAGAUCCAUGCAAAUAGAAGACGAAGUAGUUUAUAAAAUAAAAAUUCACUUUAGAUACUCAAAUAGGUAAUAGAGAUGCUUUAGAAAUGUUUUAAUCCCCACUCUCCAAAUUAAUAUGCUCGAGUGCCAUUAUAAUGCCUGAAACAGGGAAUAAAGCAUUUUGGAUCUGUUUUCAACCAGCUGAAUUUGGAUUUCAGACACCACUACUCAAUCCCUGAGUAACAUAAGCAAGUCACCCACAAUAGUCUCAAAUUCAGUGCCUUAAUUUAUGAAAUAAGGGGAGCAAUACUUUCUUCAAAGCAUUAGUAGAUUUUUUUCUAUACAGGCCAGAAAGUAAAUAUUUUGAGUUUCAUGGGCUAGAUAGUUUGUUACACCUCAACCCUGCCAUGGUAGUAUAAAAGUAGUCAUGGACAGUGUAUGAAUGAACCAUGGCUGUAUUCUGAUCAAGCUUCAUUAGCAAGAAUAGACGAUGACCUAAGUUUGCCCUGUGGACCAGUCAGCUAACCCAUGUCAGGCACUGACUUGAGUGGUGGCAAUGGUCACAAAUAAACCAGAUACAGUAGAUAACCCGCAUAAUAUCUGCCAUAUAGAGAAUCUUGAAUAAAUGCAUUGACCCAGUGCAUCAGUUGAGAAAUCAAAGAGUAGAUUUGACCUGAUGAGUAUAAUUACUAUCUCCAAACUUAGUAUUUUUCUAUUUCACACACCACUUUUUGUUUUUAUGAGAUCACUUCAUAGUCCCCACUGAAGUCCCAAAUUUAAAAAGGCAUUACCAUUGUGCAGUUAGAAGUUUGUUAAACUCUUUUCUUAAAACAUUUCUGAAACAAUUGGCUUAGGAUACUCAGGAAAGCUCAAUGCUGGGACUUAGACAAAAUUCUCUAUAACAUUCUUCACUUAGCAGUGCUCCAUGGAUGAGAACUAGAACAUAGGAAUGAAGUUUUAUAAUAAAAUAAUUUUGAGAAAAGAUGUUUUUAUUACAUAAGUCCCCACAGUCUUUGAUGUUAAAAAGGGGUUGAGGGGGCCUGCAUGUGGCAUAGAGGGUAAACCCACAGCCUGCAAUGCCAGUAUCUCAUUUGGGCACCAGUUCCAUGACCCGGCUGCUCUACUUCCAGUCCAGUUCCCUGCUAAUGGCCUGGGGAAAGGAGUAGAAGAUGCCCCAAGUGUUUGGGCUCCUUCCACCAUCGUCUGAGACGUGGAUAAUGCUCUUAGCUUCAGCCUGGCCCGGUGCUGGCCAUUGUGAUCUGGUGGGUGCAAGAGGACUACAUUCUGCAAUUUCCCAAGUAUUGUUUAGGACAUUUUAAAAUUAAAUUUCACACAUCUGCAACAAUUUGGCGAAUGCAGUCUUUGGAAAAAAAACUGUUUGGGUAAACCCUAUUCUGUAAUAUAAAUUGAAUUUUGGUAAUUUUGGUAAAUAUGAAAUAAAUGGUGGGAAUUCACACCUCUGAAAAGGAACUUGGUAAACCUAGGCAAGCAAGGUGCUAGCAAUUUACUGUUAAAAUUCUUUAACUUUUUCAUUCAACCAUUUCUUCUUUCACUUAUUCAAUGGCAUUUCAUUAUUGUUUUCUUUUCAAGGUAGAACAGUAUUCUUUCAGAAAGUAAGAGGCAGCUUUAUGAAUAGAAAGUUUAGAGAUUCUAAAAUAAAUGGCUAAAAUCUGAGCCUCUUUGUUUCACAUCUAUAAAAAUCUUACUGGGUUUCAUGGGAAGAUAAACUUUUAUUUCCAAAGGAACUUGAAAGUUAUAUGAAGAUAAAAGAGGCGCUAUAGUGAGUGAAGUAGAGUAACAUUUGGCAAUAACCUGCUGGAGAUCUCAUCUGAAUUAGAAAGAACUCUGAUAACAGAUCUCUUAUAGUUUAGAUCCACAGAAGCCUGAAAUAGGGUUGAGUCAUCCUAGUUGAAACCAAUAUUCUUGAAUUAGAGUCAUUUGAAAGGUUUGAUCAUAAAUUUUAUUUAAGCAGAAAUAAGGGAGAUGAAUGAUUUUCAGGUAGUCCUCUGAGUGUCUAACAGCACACUUCUCCUUUGGACUUGAAGAAACACUGGAAAACACAAACUAGUUCAACUAGGAAACUUCCCUAAAUUCAAUAUCACCGAUCACCAUUAUUUCUGUCACAAGGCUUUCCUGUGAUGUUGGUACCAGAGAGGACACAAAUAGUUUUAUGAGUAUCCUGAUAUAGAGAAACAAGUAUCUUCUAAUUCUUAAUGUCUUUCACCCUUCUCAUUCUCACCCCCUGCCACACACAUGCAUAGUGGUUAACUUUUCAGAACUGUUUUCAGUAUAAUAAUUUUAACUGCAUUUUUAUUCUUGUACAAAAUCAGCCCAAAACAAUACUAUUUAUAGGACAACUGAGACAAGAAGCUGGAUCUAUACUCUGAUAAACUGUGGAAUUUAAUGAUGCCUUUAUAUGUUACGGAUGUGUAGUAAUCUGUGUUUCUACAGUGUUUGAUGUUAAAUGUACUUAGAACAAUCAAUUAAGGUUUACUUUUCAAUAUAAAGUAGAAUUGGUGACUAAGACCACCCAACCCAAAAUUGAGAGUGUUGAACCAUUUUUAGAUUAAUAUAAAUUUUCCAGUAGCAAUAUAGAAGAGAAUUACACAUCCCAAAUACUUAGCUAUGUUAAUUCUAUGGUUAAAAUUCAGGCAGGGAGAAUAUAUGUAAUAGUGUGCAAAGCAAUUUCUGUAAGAUGGGUGAAACAUGGCCUUCUCUUAAAUUAAAAUAUUUUUUUUAUUUGACAGGUAGAGUUAGACACUGAGAUAGACAGAGAGAAAGUUCUUCCUUCCAUUGGUUCACUCCCCAAAUGGCCGCCGCAGCCAGUGCUGCACCGAUCCGAAGCCAGGAGCCAGGUGCUUCUUCCUGGUCUCCCAUGAGGGUGCAGGGGCCCAAGCACUUGGGCCAUCCUCCACUGCCUUCGUGGGCCACAGCAGAGAGCUGGCCUGGAAGAGGAGCAACCGGGAAUAGAAGCCUGCACUGAUAUAGGUUACCGGUGCCACAGGCGGAGGAUUAACCAAGUGAGCCAUUGCGCUGGCCUUUAAAUUAAAAUCUUAAAAAAUUCUAAAUCCCCCUAGAAAUGGAUUGGAACAAGGCUGGGUGGAGAGUGUGACUUGACCUUCAGAUUAAAAUUGUAGGUUUGUGAAGACUGAGGAGGACCUAUCUACCCAGCUCGGUAGGUAACUCAAGAUGAUGGAAAUAGAAUCAGAAGACAUGCUAUUCCUUAGAGAACAGCUGCCCAAAUCCACAAAGAGGAUAUUUUUGCUUUCUCCUUAUGUGACAGACAAGUAACACCAUUCCAGGAUCUAUCAUUAUUAAUAUCACAUAUGAAAUGAAAAUGGUCCAAUUCAGAGCACACAAUUCUCAUUAUUUUUUCAGUCUGUAACCCUUGAAAACUGGAUAUCAAUUGCAUUCAUUCCUUUUCUUCAUACAGCAUUGAAAAAUGGAGAGGAUAAAAUGCUGAGAAAUAUUUAGGAAAGAACCUGAAGUUAAUUGAUGGAAUUAAUGACAGAAAUACAAAAUGAAUUGUGAAAAAGAAAAGUAACUUAAUCUUAAUAAGCCCAGCAGAGCCAGUGUAAUUAAAUAGCAGCUGUGGUAUCUUUUAAUUAUUUUCCCUAAACAGCACUAUCAUUAUAUAUGACCAAGAAAUAACUUUUCUGUAUUUAUUUGGCGAAGUAGCAAAAAAACAAAUUGAAACUUACAUUAUCAAUUGCAAAAAUGGCAUUACUGUGGAUUGGAAGUAAUUUGAAAUUACACCUAAUAGAACAAAGCACACUCCAAAUUAAUGUAUAGUGCUACUAGGAAAUAAAUGAGUUCUUCACUCUUAAGUCUUUUGUUUUAAGGAGAACCUUUAGCAAUGGAAGCCAAAUAAUUGUCCUUAAAACCAUGGAAUGAAUCAAAGCAACCAUCAUUGGCAUUCAUGAUUAUCGGAGAAGAUUUUCUUCUCUUUGAAUCAUUCUUUCUUUAUGCAAUGCAGGCAGCAAAGCCCUGUUGUAUGACAUAGAGCCUUUUAGGUCAUUUCCUUGAUGAAACUUUCACAUCACUAUUCUCUAUUUUCUGAUUUCUUCUUUUCCAUUGCAUUUUCUCUCUCUCCUACUUCUUACAAUUGCUGUUUGUGUACCUGCUUCCAACCAUUGGUAAGACUGAAUAUGAUAUGUCUUGUAAACAAGGAACUGCUUUUAGAUAAGUCAUUGCAUGGGGACUUCUCCAAUGUUUACCUGUGAAUUAUGACCUGUUAGCUUGGCAAAAACUUUGCCUUUCCUGAGAAAUGUCUUUCUGAGAAAGAUAUUGAUUGAGGAUGGACCCCUGCCUGGCAGUAUUUGUACAAUUUAAAUUUACUUGAGGGUUUUCAAAUGUACUCUCCCUUUUAUGGUAAGAGAUGACUGAAAGAAAAGCUAAUUCAUUUUAAAUAAAGAGUUCUUAGUUGACAGUAGAAGCAUAGCUCACCAAAAGGGUAAUAACUUUUUCUGAGUUAGCAGUUAUUAGAUCAAAUUGGAACAGGCACCUACAUAUACAUUAGUAUUCUAUAUUAUUUACUGUCAAUAGUCUGUUCGUAUAAUUCCCUGCAUGUGAAUGGUAUUUUCCUGCUUACUUAAUUUGAAAAAAACGUAAUUCAAAGCAAUCAUAGAUUCUGUCAUCUUAUGUUCUUGCUAAAUGUUCUAAUUUGUCUUCUCAUUCUUAAGCAUCAUUAUUCAUUUCUAGUUAGUAGGAAAUAUAUCAUUCAUCUCAAGCUGUUGCUUUCAGAGUGAUGGUCAAACAUAGCUUUUUAUUUGCUGGUGUCCUUUGGUGAAACUUAGAUGUCCUUCCAAGUCUGUCUCAAAUAUUCACUCCUUAGUAAGAUGUUCCUCUUCAUGUGCAUUGUUAUUGACUUCUAAGUUUAAGCCUCUUUUUUGGCCUUGUGUUUAAUUUAUUCCUAGAUUAUUUUCUUUUUCCACUGUCAUGCUUUUCAAAUCUGACACUAUCGCCUGAGCAAGUGAAACACCACUUCACAUCAUGGGAGAAAUAGACUAGACCUCUCCUCUUGGCUCAUAUUAUGUGGCAAAUGUGUUGAGCUGAGAGAUAUCUGAGCUUUGGGUUAAAAGAUAAUGGGUUGAGGAAUUAGUUUUAAAUUCUAUGCAUGUAACUUGGAGAAAGGAUAAUCUGAGUGUCUGUUAUCUAAACCUGUGACUCCUCUCAGCAUACUGUGGAUGAGGUCCAUUAUACAUCACAUUUAUUGAAAAUAAUACAACUGUAUGUUUUCAUUAUGUUCUAGAACAUUUUACAUCAUGUGUAAAUCUGUCUUCAAAGAUACAGGAUCUUGGGGGUUAGCACUGUGGCUCAGUGUGUUAAAGCCUUGGUCUGUGCUGCCAGCAUCCCUUAUGGGCACCUGUUCAGGUCCUAGCUGCUCCACUUCCAAUUCUCAGCUCUCUGCUAAUGUGCCUGGGAGAACAGUGGAGGAUGGCAAAAGUCCUUCAGCCCCUGCACCCAUGUGGGAGACCCGGAAGAAGCUCUUGGCUUUGGACUGUCUUGUGGCCAUUUGGAGAGUGAUCAAGUAAAUGAACAAUUUCUCUCUCUCUCCCUCUCCCUCUCCCUCCUUCUCUCUCCACUUCCCCCACCCCGUAACUUGGUCUUUCAAAUAAAUCAUUUAAAAAAAAAAAAACUUACAGGAAUCUUCAAAUGCAACUGGCAAAGAGGAGGGAAGAAGGUCUAGAGCAUAUGAAAUAGGACUGGGAUCUAAAUGGAAUAUAGGAAUGGUUCCCAAGGUCAGGAUCAGAAUGGCUUUGUAACUAUUUGGCAGCACAACAUAAACAGUGCACAAAAGGGGCUAAUGAACUCAAGCUAGGUUUAAGCCAGUGCAUAUGUCCGUAUGUCGAAGAAAGGCUACUGUUGGUUAAUAGGUCUUGGGAGCAGUGAUGCGUACGGUAUGAUAACACUAGAUGUCAUAUUGAUGAAAGCUUGACAGACUGAUAGUAUUCAAAAAGUCAUUAUUUCUAUGGAAGAACCCAGCCAAAAAAUAAUAUUAGGAGAGUCGGGUGUAUCUAAGGUGAAGAGAGGGUAUCAGGGAACCAUUUAGUUCAGCUGGGCUCCAGCUAUAUCUUCAGUUUUACAAUAAGUCAAAGAAAUUCCAUUGUAUGCAUUAGGCCAAUAUGAGAGGUAAGUUCUAUUUAAAUAGGCUAAAUAAGCACACUGCCUCAUGUGCAUAUCCUAGCCAGACUUAUGACAUGUUAACACUAUGAUAAAAUAUCUAAAGUUCAAAUUAACAUCAUAGUGUCUCCAUUUUUCGUGUCCAUCUUCAGUUUAGAUCAUGGAUUCUUCAGAGCAGACAUAAAAUUCCUUUCGGUUCGGAAUCUCAGUGCCUAGGCCGAUGCCCAACACAAGCACACAAGAAAUGCUUAUGGACAAGUGAAUGAAUGAGAGAACUAACAAAGCCGUAUUCCAAGGACGUAAGAUACAACUCUGAAAAUGCAUGCCUUCAUCACUUAAUUAAGCAGGGUUCAAGCUAGGGAUGAUUUAAUGUCUGUGACAGAUGGUGGGCUCUGGAUGAGGAAGAAGUCAAGGCUGUCUUCUCCCCCAUCCUCUGCUUCUUUCUGAACCAACAGGAUGUGAAACUCUGUCCUAAGAACACAGUGCCGCGUGCCGCCAUGAGUGUGCUUCCUUCUGGUGUGGUGCUAGCAAAACAAUGGCUAGCAUAUAUCCUAGUGGUAGAAGGUUCUUGCUCUGUGAUAUUGCCCCAUGAUGUCUUGUGAGUGUGACUGUUUCAUUGUGGAGCUCAAUAAAACUGUCCAGGAAGGGAAAAUAAAAAAGGUAUUCGUGUUCUUUUUUCGCUCACAUCAGAUUUUUUUUUUCACUGAGGACUUUAAUGAGAAAGAGUCUGAAAACUAGUAUUCUUCAUGGAAUUUUUCUGUUCUGGCAUCAUAUUGGUUUACCACAAUCCUAUCGGUUUUCUAGAUAAUUAGCACUUUGCUGUGGGAGGUGUUAAUGGCUGCAUUCAUUUGGAGGCUGUUUGGAUUAAUUGUGCAGUUGAUGAUCCUGAACUGUUCAGGCCCGAACUUCAUUGCCAUAAAUACAGAGGAGUGCUUGUCCUCAACUUGUAACAAGGAAUGCAUUUUGUCAAACUGCUUCUUAAAAUCCAAAAUUUGGGACUUAAGUAAUACUUUUUUAAAAAAAAUUUUUGGCUUAAUCUUCACACCUACUUAUUUCAGAGUGUUGAAUUACCAAGUAAGCCAGGAGAAGAUUAUACUAAAAAUGGGACUUUCAUAUUUGAGAAGGUAUUGAACAGAGAUUUUGCAGAAACCUCAUGGGAUUUUAUUCAAAAUAUAACUUGAUUAAUUUUCAAUAAUACUCUCUGGUUUUGGAAAACUGCCUCUGAAAGUCUCUCUUUUUCUUCCUGAUGUAUGUAAAGAUGUUUUAGCUUCUUUAAUUUUUUUAAAGUAGUGUUACAGAGGAUUAUUGAAGAUCUAAAUCCCUGGUGAAUGCUGUUGGUUUAAGUUUCUGAAAAGAUUUAUGAUAACAGUUGUUUUGGAAAAGUAUGUUCAAGCAUAAAAUUCUACUAAAUCCAACUAUUUGGCCCAAAAUGUGCCGAGUGCCUACUCUGUAUAAUGCUUGUCAGAUGUUCCAGACAAAAUUGAUUAUAAUUUGAAGUUAGCGCAGUCAGUCCAGCUUUGUUUUUCUCAAGCAGGAUGCAGGAGACCUGGUUCAUCCCUCAGAUUCCUGCAAGGGCUGGGACUGUGCCUGGGCUGGGAAGCUGAGUACUGGGAACACAGCCCAGGUCUUCUACAGGUGAGGCAGGAACCCUGAGUGACAUCAAGAUCUUUGAGAAGAUCUGGGGGCAGGUCAGGCACCCUAAGCUAAGGUUGCCUGAAGUAGCAGGUUCUUGGAAUUCUCAAGUCAAGGAGGUAUGCGACCAAGAAGGGCAACUAUAGCAUUACCCAAGGUUCUCGGGUAAGAUGUGCAGGAGGAUGAGACACAGAGACUCCAGAAUGAAGAGGGCUCACAGAAGAAAUGACUCUCCCUCUACCUGGACUCUUCUCCUGACAUCUCUAGCAUGCCACCUCCUGUCACCUGUGUCUCCUCCUGGGGAGGCUUUUACUGCUAAUCCAUUAUGAAUCAGCACUGCCCACACAUUUUCUAGCCCCCCCCCCCAUAUAAUUUUCUUUUUAACACUACUUAGCAAGGUCCUAGAGGACAUCAAAAAGUUCAUGGAAAAUGGAAUUAAAAGAUGUUUAUUUUCGUGCAAAAAAUACUGUGAUAUCCAUGCAUACAAGGGCUCUUCAAAACACUCAUGGAGGGAGCCAUUGUGACAUAUUGGGUUAAGACCCCCCCUGUGAUGCUGGCAUCCAAAUUGGAAGCCAGUUCAAAUCCUGACUAUUCCACUUCUGAUCCAGCUGCCUACUGAUGUGCCUGGGAAAGCAGUGGAGGGUGGGCCAAGUGAACUAAUGUGCGAGACCAGGAAGAAGUUCUUGGAUUGAGCUCAGCCCAGCCCUGGCUGUGGUAGACAUUUGGGGAAAGAACUGGCAGACAAAAGAUUUCUCUGUCUCUCCUCUUAUAAUUCUGCCAUUAUGUUAAAUAAAUAUGUCUUUAAACACUUGGGGCAGGUGCUGUGGCAUAGUGCUGCUGAGUCGUCUGUUCCACUUCCAAUGCAGCUCUCCGCUAUGGCCUGGCAAAGCAGUAGAAGAUGGUACAAGUCCUUGGGGCCCUGAACCAGUGUGGGAGACACAGAAGAAGCUCCUGGUUUUGGGUCAGCUCAGCUCUGGCUGUUGAGGUCAUUUGGGGCCAGCGCUGUGGCAUAGCAGGUUAAUACCCUGGCCUGAAGUGCCAGCAUCCCAUAUGGGCAGCCAGUUCAAAAGCCAGCUGCUCCACUUCCCAUCCAGCUCUCUGCUAUGGCCUGGGAAAGCAGUAGAAGAUGGCCCAAGUCCUCGGGCCCCUGCACCUGCGUGGGAGACCCGGAAGCAGCUCCUGGCUUCAGAUUGGCACAGCUCUGGCUGUUGCCGCUAUCUGGGGAGUAACCAGUGGAUAAAAGUAUUUCUCUGUCUUUCUGGCUCUGCUAGCUCUGUGUAACUCUGACUUUCAAAUAAAUAAAUAAAUCUUUAAAAAAUUAAAUCUUGAAAAAAACUCAUGAAAAAUGUGCAUUAUGAGAAAACUGCAUGAAUUUCAAAAAUUAUUGCAACAAAAUAAUUUAUUUUUAAUUCCAUUUUUUCCACAAGCCAUUUGAAAUACCUUGUAUAACAAAUGGUUAUAUAUUUGUUAAUCUUUUUAAGAUUUAUUUAUUUGAAAGGCAGAGAGGCAGAGAGAGAGAGGUCUUCUAUCUGAUGGUUCAGUCCCCAAAUGGCCACAAUGGCCAGAGCUGAGUUGAUCCGAAAUCAGGAGCCAGGAGCUUCUUCUGGGUCUCCCAUGUGGGUUCAGGGAGCCAAGAACUUGGACCAUCUUCUGCUGUAUUCCCAGGCCAUAGCAGAGAGCUGGAAAGUAAGUGGAGCAGCCGGGACUAGAACUGGCAGACAUAUGGGAUGCCAGCACUGCAGUUGGCGGCUUUACCUGCUGUGCCACAGUACUAUAUUUAUCUUUUGCCACUAAAACAAAAACAAAGCCUCUUGAGGGGAGGGUCUUGAUGAAUUUUGUUCAUCUCUGUUUUUCUGGCGUUUAGAUCAGUGGUUGACAGGUACUAGGGCCUGCUGAGUGAAUGUAUUUGUUCUGAGAAAUAAAUGAUCCCAGAAUGCCUGCCUGUAGGAAAGUGGGAAAGUUGAAUUAGGACCACAGGCAACAAUGAGUGAAGGGUAACUAGUAGCAAUAGGAAGGGUUGCAGGUAGGUGGGAGGGCAGAAAUACUUUUAGAAUUAAAAUGAUAAAUAUCAAACUCCAAGAUCUUUGACAAGUGCUGGGGGGUGGGGGGAAUGGAUGAGUCAUGAGGCCUAAGGUGCCAUUCAAAUUCAUGAGGAUGAGAAGUUGUAGAACAAGAUUCCAGGAGAGAAAUCUCUGAAGUUGCUCUGAAUUUUCGGGGUAGGAGAGGGGGAAACCUGGGCUCAGUGUUUUGAAGCAGCAGGUCAGAAAUAAAUACCCCCAAGGACAGGGCUGGAAGAGGAGAACCAGCCUUUCCUGAGGGCCUCCCAGGGCCCAUGUAUCCUUGCCUCUGGCUUCUGGGGAGAACUAGGAUGCUCGGAGGGUGAAAUGCUCAGUUACGCGAGAAUCCACACAGCCGCAGUUAGACCAGUUUUGUGGUACAAAGUCCCACGCUUGCACUACAAGAUCCUCCCCUGCUCAGUUUUCCCUUCUGAGUUCCACAUCCCCCAUUCUGUUUGUUUCUUUCUUCCUUUUAACUGAUUGUCCUAAAUAGGAAAUAUUUUAGAAGUUUUUUAAAGCCAUUCGAAGUCAUUUUUCUCUCUUCUCUCCUAGUUUGGAGGGAAGAUUUGAGAAAGCUCAAAAGACUACAAGUAAACUACUUUCCAGGAUCAGCAGGGUUUUUAGCUAGUAUUUUUGGUGCAUAAAGGGGAAAAAAAAGCACCUGAGAACAAAUCACAGUAAUAAAAGAAAAUGGUGUCAACAUUUGUUUGAAAAAUAAAUGCAUUAUAACUUAAAUUUCUAGAAUUUAGCCAAGGAAAAUUAUAUCUCCAUUAACUUAAAAUACCUUCGUUCCUAAAGAUUUAGCUACUGCCUGCAAAAUGCCCCAUGUGACAUACUUAGGAGUUAUGGGGAUAAUGGUUGUUAAGAAAAUCUCUAGGAGGUUCCAAAAGGAUUGAAAUGAUUUAGGCAUAAAAUAGAAUUUUAGCUGAGUUUAUAGCAAUGCUGCAAUAUGUAUUUUUAAUUUUGCGCAUGGGGAUUGACUAUAGGACAAAAUAAGAUUUCCAAAAAACAUGGAGUCUGUUAUAAAGGCAAAAUGCAGCUGUGUGUUCUGUUAUACCACUGAUUACACAUUUGCAAUGAAGGUGACAUGCCUAUUGUAUAGGUAUGCCUACAAGUUGCCUAACUGUUCAUGAGAUCCCUAGUUAAGAUUAGGUCUGAUGGAAAUGUAGUCAAUGUAGUCAUGACUUUUUCAUUGCCUGUAUGAUGCACAUUUUCAUUACUUUUAGUUUUGUAAAACUUUGUGUAUUGCAUAUUUCUGAGAUUAGUUCUUUAAUAAGUCAGUGGCAGCUCUCAAUUAGGAACUUUCAAAUUAAGUUGGCUCUCCACGGGAACAUGGAAUAUCCUACAGAGAAAAAAAUCAUCUACUUAUUCAAAAACAUGUAUUUAUCAAUGUGUACAUAUUUGAUAUUUCCCUAUGAUCUGAAUACACAGGAAUGAAAAAAGGUAAAAUAUCCCUACCCUCCUGGAGCUUAAAUCCAGUAAAGGUGAGAGAACACACACACCU